AUUGAACGCUGGCGGCAGGCCUAACACAUGCAAGUCGAGCGGAGCGGCGGACGGGUGAGUAAUGCCUAGGAAUCUGCCUGGUAGUGGGGGAUAACGUCCGGAAACGGGCGCUAAUACCGCAUACUAUCAGAUGAGCCUAGGUCGGAUUAGCUAGUUGGUGGGGGAAAGGCCUACCAAGGCGACGAUCCGUAACUGGUCUGAGAGGAUGAUCAGUCACACUGGGACAGAGCAAGGGCCCGGACUCUGAGGGGAGGCAGCAGUGGGGAAUAUUGGACAAUGGGCGAAAGCGUGUUCCAGCCAUGCCGGGGGUGGGAAGAAGGUCUUGGGAUUGUAAAGCACUUUAAUGUGGGAGACGUUACCAACAGAAUAAGCACCGGCUAACUUCGUGCCAGCAGCCGCGGUAAUUC
rnacentral:rRNA from 1 species